CCUCUCUCCGCGCAUACCUGUCGUAUCUUUCUAUAUAGCAGCUAAGUCAUUGUCGAUCCAACUUCGUUUUCGUUCUCCAUCAUGAAAAUGGAACGUUUCUAUCCAGGAUGCAUAGAAGUGGCUGUGAAGCAUCGAGAGCCUCCGUUCGAAUAAUCAAAGUUGCAGGAUAAAACAGGGCGGUUAAUUAUCUAACGAUUGGUAAUUGCUCACUUCGAUGGCCGCUCGAUUGCUUCCUCGUUCCUUGCCAGCACUCUGCCCAAUGGCUCGCUUUGUGUAACGCGGGCAGAGAACGGAAAACAGGAGAGAAGAAAACGGAAGAAGAAAAAAAAGUAAAUCCAUCGAUUGAUAUGCCGGUUGGCUUGCUUAGUCACUCGGUUGGGCAAUUAGUCGUCCGUAAAGUAACUCGUGUAUGGGAUAAACGAACGGCUCGAUUAAAACAUGAUAAGCAUUAAUCGAUAUCUGUUUACGCAAUUAUGAGCAAGGAAUAUUCUUUGAAACGCGCUCUCUUUCGUUUCGUGUCGAGAAGGAUUCGCACGACCUACCCCACACGCUCCGCCAUUGCGAGGAUGGCGAGCUGACGCGUCGUUUCACUGUUCCUCUUUUUCUUAUUCUACUGCUACUACUGUGACGUAUGGAUUUCGAGGGGGAAAAAUGUAGGCCGCAGCGUUUCCUGGAAUUUUAACCAUUCACAACUCAACAACAUGGAUCAUAUAUAUAUGUUUUAUGCUUGGAAGUCUCAUGCCUCGAUUGAAAAUUGUUAAAAGUAUUAAGAGUAUAUUCGAUCUCGAGCGAAAUGUUCGAUUCGAAGUUGGGCAUUGAGCCAAUUGGUAGGAAAAGUGAGGUUAAAAAUAUCGGAUAAAGUUGCUUUAUGAAUAAAUUGCUUAUUAAAAUAAAUUGAA